CGCUCAUCUAUACUCUGCAUAGUAUCUGGCCAGCUGUCACAAUAUACACACCGCGUGUUUAAGAAUCGCUUAUAUUUUUACUUAUAUUUAGACAACAGCAGUCCAGAGGGAAAUUAAUAAUUGUUUACCCUUUUACAGAUGCAGUUUAACAAGCAUACCAGGUGACAAUAAAGACGGCAACGUCCAACACACGUGUAAUUGAGGUUGAACGAUCCGAUGUCUUUACAUUAAUUACUGUGGGUAAAUCCGCUCAAUAUUCACAAGGAAGAGCAUAUUAUUAUUCUUAGAUCGUAUCACAGGUAUUAAUGUAUCGAAUAAUGUAUCAAAUAGGUACUAAUGUAUUCAUAACCUAUACUUGUACCAGAAAAGGAACAUGCUAACACCAUUUCAAUUAAUAGACAGAAACUAUGUAAUACAUUUUAUCAGAUUGUCGUUCCCUGUUUAUAGGCUAAGAAGACUUCCGUUAUUAUAUUAAGAAUUGAGCUACUACCACAGCGUAUACGAUAUAUCUCGUACUUGCAUAUAUAAGAUCGAGAUCAUCCAAUCUGCAUAUGUAAUUAUCAAUAAAAGAGAUAUUAUAUCCGUGGGGUUAUACUCUCAGUAAUACAGAGCAACUGCUCGCAGCUCAUCUGCCGUGACAGAAGGAUGUCACGGUAAUUCACCUGUCUUACAUCUGUCGCAAUCAUUCAAUGGAACAGUGGCAACCAUAUACCGAUUACGUGAAAGUUCCAAAUUAAACAUAAACAUGACUAUACCAGGAGUGCAACAGAUGCAACUACAGGCAUAGAUGUACAUCCGUUUUAAUGUUAUAAUUAUAACAAAAGAGAAAGAAGCAACAUUCACGUAUUAUACUCCUGAGGCAAUACACUCAACAGAUUCUGUGCACCUGCUCGCAGUACAUCAGCCUUGACAAAAUGAAUUGCAGAGAAUUACAUCAAAGCGCUCAUGCAAUGGGACAGCAAAACAAACAUUAUCUACACAAUAUUUAACACCAUACGAAGUGUCAAUGUGAUUUAUAUUUUAAAGAUUCAAUCUCUGCGCUUAAUUACUAUAAUUACAUAAUAUUUAACACUAUAUGAAGUGUCCAUGUGAUUUUAUAUCGUAAAGAUUCAAUCUCCGCACUUAAUUACUAUAAUUAUAUAUUAAUAACAUCAAUAUCAAUAUUUAUUCACACGCGAUUCUAUUUUAAGUAUUAUUGUCCGGUAAGUUGAUAGAUACAACUGUUCAAGGCAAAUGUAUAUGCGCCUUCAUGAAUUAUAUUAUGAAAACCGAAAAAGCAGCAAUCUACCAUACUAUAAUAUUCAAGUAACAUCUGUUUAAUUAAUACUAUUUAUAAUUCCUAUUAGUUAAUGUUAUUAUUAAGUAAUAUUGUGUUCAAUAUUAUGUUCAACAUUAUGUUUGGAUUGCAAAAGUUAAUUAACAAAUAAUAUUUUACAAAACCGUUGUAUCCGGGUUAGCAUUAUUACUUUAGAAGUGUAGUAAUACAAAAGUUUGUAUCCACGCAGCACUUAAUUCAUGAAUAAUUAGUUGUUGUCUAUUUGUUUAUUUAUUUGAUAGUGUUGUGUGUUCAUUGUACUGCUAUUCUAUAAUUCAUACAAUCAGCAUUAAAAAUAAAAUAUAUGCUUCAUUACUAUUAUCAGAAAAAUCCGACCGCAGUUCAAUAAUGCUUAAUUCUUUGUUACAAGGAUCUAAUAGAUCUGAGGUGCGUCAAUGAAUUAAUGUCGCGCUCAUUAGCAGUUAUAUUGUCCAAUCAAAGAUUAAAUUAUUAUCAUUAAAUAAUUAAUUAAAAACAUCUAUUAUAAAUAAGCUACUAAAGAGGGCAUAAGUAUGUAGGUCAUACAGGAGGAGCUUACUUUCCUCCUGUUACCAAAAUGUUGUUGUAAGUUAUAUAAAUUUAUAAUUGCCUUUAUAGCACAAUAGUUUGUUAAUUCUUAGAAUAACACUAUGCUAAUUUAAGUAAUGUACUAUUUACCUCCUAUAUAUUGUGUACUUGUGUUCUUUUCAAAUCAAAUAGGAACUAACUAGUCGUAUAUCA